GACCCGUUGGCGCACUCGGUAGCGCACCCACAAUAAUUGAUGUUUUCACAUCCAGCGAAUUUACGUGGGAGGCCCCAGCUCGACUCUGGGAUGGGUCA